rnacentral:rRNA from 1 species
CAGUUCGCCCUGGGGGAUAAAGGCUUCGGGAAUGUGGCUCUCUCCGGGGAGUGUUAUAGCCCGCUGCGUAAUACCCUGUGGCGGACUGAGGUUCGCGCAUUCGCAAGGAUGCUGGCGUAAUGGUCAUCAGUGA